CAUGGCUGGAUAGAUGGGAGACAAAAAAAAAAAACAAAAAACAUCUCUUUUCUUGAAUAUAUUUUACCUCUUCCCAACACCUGGAGAGCUUUAGGUGCCCAAGUUCAUCCCCACUUUAUCCCGGGGAAGAAACUUCUCAGCGCUUCAAACCUUUGAGGAAAAAUUGCAUUUCUAUUUCUCGGUACAGAAAUCGUACAGAAGAUUUGCGCGGCAAACGCACAGAAAGGAUCUGAGUUUUAUGUUAUACCCAUUUAGUCCGCUGAGUGAAUUCUCUGCUUCUUGACCUCAUGAGGGUCCACAAGGGUUGAUGCCUCCAGACAAUCAUCUCCUUAUGAAUCAGCCCUUCCAAAGUCAUUGCUCCCGGGAAUCUCUCCCCCAAAAGGAAAGCACGCAAAAGAUCAUGCUGCCUUUUCAUCUUCCUCAGGCCCUGCAUCCCCCCCAAACGAUCCCUGUGGUCUGUCAGGGAGGGCACUGAACCCCUCGACAGCCGGGAUUUCGGAGCUUCCGGAGGCACAGCGAGGUAGAAAUGCAAGAGAUAAAA